rnacentral:rRNA from 1 species
CGCUGGCGGCGCGUUUAAGCAUGCAAGUCGAGCGGCAAGGGCCUUCGGGCCCUAGAGCGGCGGACGGGUGAGUAACACGUGGACAAUCUGCCCCCCGGCCCGGGAUAGCCCAGGGAAACCUGGAUUAAUGCCGGAUGAGACGGGACCCGCGAUGGCGGGACCCGGGAAAGGCGCUGCGGCGCCGCCGGGGGAUGAGUCUGCGUCCCAUUAGCUAGACGGCGGGGUAACGGCCCACCGUGGCGACGAUGGGCAGCCGGCCUGAGAGGGUGGACGGCCACAUUGGAACUGAGACACGGUCCAGACUCCUACGGGAGGCAGCAGCUAAGAAUCUUCCGCAAUGGGCGAAAGCCUGACGGAAGCGACGCCGCGUGAACGAAGAAGGCCGUGAGGUUGUAAAGUUCUUUUCGGGAGGGGGAACAACCGUGGCAGGGAAUGGCCGCGGGAUGACGUGAAUCCCGGAAUAAGCCCCGGCUAACUACGUGCCAGCCGCGGC